GCAUUGAAAGGAUAGGAAAGACCUGACCUCGAAAAGAUUACUAUCCAAGCAGGUUUUUCAGGUUUGUUUUAACUGUUGCUUGCUGUUUAUUGGCAAUAUGUCUGAGCAAAGUUUCUUUUUUUAAGUAUAUUCCCUCACAUCAGCUCUACCAAUCUAUUGAAGGUUGUUUACCUUGGUUAACUUUAAUAGAUUAAAGAUUGUUAAGAUAGAAAUCCACAGUUUUCAUACAAAAUGCAAUGCAUAGUUGUACUUGGGGUAUAAAUUACCCCUCUCGUCUAAGUUGUUGCAUUUGCUAAAAAGUUUGUUUUAUCCCUGGUGGGAGUCAUUUUCACAUAUUUAUUAACUCUUAAAAGAAAAAUCUGCUGCUCUUAGUAAAUGAAACAGGACGCCUCCUUUCUGCCAUCUGGAGAUUUAUGGAUAAAAGAGGAUGGUGCUUUGCAGGAAAACCGAAAAAUCUACCAUCGAAGCAACCUCUCUCCCUCUCUCUCUCUCUUGGUGUGUUUUCUUGUUGCUCUGUGUAUAUGUGUCUGCUUACUCCACAUUACCUUAGGGGGGCAGGAUCCUCCUGGGAUCUCCGCCCUCGCCCUGACGCACCUCAAGCAAUCAAGCACCUGUGAAUCAUCUGGCAAUCAGCUGACUGCUGUUUAAGCUGGGACCUGACCUUCAGUCUCUGUCUGAGUGUUGUCCAACUGUCGUAGUGAUUGCCUUGCCCAUCUGACAGUGAAGCAACCCUGUCAGAUGACUGUGGUUUGGAGGAAGUCCCUGCAAAGAGGCCGGCAGAGAGGCCUGAUACAGAGGGUGACAUUCGUUUGCUCUAUAAGAGAAGACUCCAGCAAAAAAUGGAGUAUACUGAGCUAAAGAAACAAAAGCUUCUAGGUGAAAUCGAACUUCAAGCUCUAAUGAGGCAAAAAGUUCAACUCGAAAUCGAGUUGCUUCAAAAGGAACUUCAGACUCUGCCACUAGGUUGGUCCAAGUGCACUGGCUGGAGGUCAUCAUCAGGCUGAACCUCCACCACAGGAGUCCUCUCCUUUCUGAUGGUGGCAAUGUUGUGCAGUACGGCACAUGCAACAAUAAUGUCACAUGCCCUGUCAGGUGCAACCCUUAGACUUUUCAGACACUGAAAUCUUCCCUUUAUUUGCUCAAAGGUCAUUUCAAUGCGUGCCCUUGUCCUGGCUAGAGCUGCAUUGUAGCGGGUUCGUGGCCCAGGGUUGGGGUCAGGGAACGGUGUCAUGAAGUACUGCCUGCAUGCAUAACCCCUGUCUCCAAGGAGAAUCCCAUCGUAGGCCCCUGUGUAAUGGAGAAAUGCUGUUAUGUUAGGCCCAAAAUAAGUAUGAAAUAUCAAAAUAAGUCUCUUUCUUACCACAAAUAAUGUGCAUAACCCUGACUCUCUGAAAAUUCUUGAGUCAUGCACUGAUCCGGGCCAUUUAGCUUCCACAUUUGUGAUAUGGCACAUAGAGUCACACACCAUCUAAGAGAUUUCAUUAUAUGUGAACACACUCCUUUUCAUUAUAUAUUACCAUCUAAAAUAUUAGUAUUACUCACCUGC